UACGUAGGGCGCAAGCGUUGUCCGGAAUUAUUGGGCGUAAAGAGCUCGUAGGCGGUGUGUCACGUCGGCCGUGAAAACCUGCAGCUUAACUGUGGGCGUGCGGUCGAUACGGGCAUCACUGGAGUUCGGCAGGGGAGACUGGAAUUCCUGGUGUAGCGGUGAAAUGCGCAGAUAUCAGGAGGAACACCGGUGGCGAAGGCGGGUCUCUGGGCCGAUAACUGAC
rnacentral:rRNA from 1 species